GAUGAACGCUGGCGGCGUGCUUAACACAUGCAAGUCGAACGAUGAAGCCCAGCUUGCUGGGUGGAUUAGUGGCGAACGGGUGAGUAACACGUGAGUAACCUGCCCUUAACUCUGGGAUAAGCCUGGGAAACUGGGUCUAAUACCGGAUAGGAGCGUCCACCGCAUGGUGGGUGUUGGAAAGCUUUAUCGGUUUUGGAUGGACUCGCGGCCUAUCAGCUUGUUGGUGAGGUAAUGGCUCACCAAGGCGACGACGGGUAGCCGGCCUGAGAGGGUGACCGGCCACACUGCGACUGAGACACGGCCCAGACUCCUACGGGAGGCAGCAGUCGGGAAUAUUGCACAAUGGGCGCAAGCCUGAUGCAGCGACGCCGCGUGAGGGAUGACGGCCUUCGGGGUGUAAACCUCUUUCAGUGGGGAAGAAGCGAAAGUGACGGUACCUGCAGAAGAAGCACCGGCUAACUACGUG
rnacentral:rRNA from 1 species